rnacentral:rRNA from 1 species
UACGGGGGGGGCAAGCGUUGUUCGGAAUUACUGGGCGUAAAGGGCUCGUAGGUGGCCAACUAAGUCAGACGUGAAAUCCCUCGGCUUAACCGGGGAACUGCGUCUGAUACUGGAUGGCUUGAGUGUGGGAGAGGGAUGCGGAAUUCCAGGUGUAGCGGUGAAAUGCGUAGAUAUCUGGAGGAACACCGGUGGCGAAGGCGACAUCCUGGACCGGUAUUGACGCUGAGGCGCGAAAGCCAGGGGAGCAAAGCAGG